rnacentral:rRNA from 1 species
AACGAACGCUGGCGGCAGGCCUAACACAUGCAAGUCGAGCGAGCAUUUCGGUGCUAGCGGCGGACGGGUGAGUAACGCGUGGGAACGUGCCCUUUUCUGCGGAAUAGUCCUGGGAAACUGGGGGUAAUACCGCAUACGCCCUUUUGGGGAAAGAUUUAUCGGAGAAGGAUCGGCCCGCGUUGGAUUAGGUAGUUGGUGGGGUAAUGGCCCACCAAGCCGACGAUCCAUAGCUGGUUUGAGAGGAUGAUCAGCCACACUGGGACUGAGACACGGCCCAGACUCCUACGGGAGGCAGCAGUGGGGAAUCUUAGACAAUGGGGGCAACCCUGAUCUAGCCAUGCCGCGUGAGUGAUGAAGGCCUUAGGGCUGUAAAGCUCUUUCAGCUGGGAAGAUAAUGACGGUACCAGCAGAAGAAGCCCCGGCUAACUCCGUG